GUGCAGCAGUCGCGAAACUUUACAAUGUGCGAAGCACGAUAAGGGAACUCUGAGUGCCUCCUAAGGAGGCUGUUCAGGUGUCUAAAAGCACCUGAAGGAAGGGCUGGGUAAGACCGGUGCCAGCCGCCGCGGUAACACCGGCAGCCCAAGUGGUAGCCACGUUUAUUGGGUCUAAAGCGUCCGUAGCCGGCUGGGUAAGUUCCUUGGGAAAUUUGGCUGCUUAACAGUCAAGCUUUCAGGGAAUACUGCCCGGCUUGGGACCGGGAGAGGUCAGAGGUACUCCAGGGGUAGGGUGAAAUCCAUUAAUCCUUGGGGGACCACCGGUAGCGAAGGCGUCUGACCAGACCGGGUCCGACGGUGAGGGACGAAGGCUAGGGGCGCGAACCGGAUUAGGAUACCCCCGUAGU
rnacentral:rRNA from 1 species